GACGUAGGGCGCGAGCGUUGUCCGGAUUUAUUGGGCGUAAAGAGCUCGUAGGCGGCUUGUCGCGUCGUUCGUGAAAACCCACGGCUCAACUGUGGGCUUGCGGGCGAUACGGGCAGGCUAGAGUUCGGUAGGGGAGACUGGAAUUCCUGGUGUAGCGGUGAAAUGCGCAGAUAUCAGGAGGAACACCGGUGGCGAAGGCGGGUCUCUGGGCCGAUACUGACGCUGAGGAGCGAAAGUGUGGGGAGCGAACAGG
rnacentral:rRNA from 1 species